CAGUCGCCGCGGUAAUACGGAGGGAGCUAGCGUUAUUCGGAAUUACUGGGCGUAAAGCGCACGUAGGCGGCUUUGUAAGUUAGAGGUGAAAGCCUGGAGCUCAACUCCAGAAUUGCCUUUAAGACUGCAUCGCUUGAAUCCAGGAGAGGUGAGUGGAAUUCCGAGUGUAGAGGUGAAAUUCGUAGAUAUUCGGAAGAACACCAGUGGCGAAGGUGGCUCACUGGACUGGUAUUGACGCUGAGGUGCGAAAGCGUGGGGAGCAAACAGGAUUAGAUACCCCGGUAGUCCCUGUCUCUUAUAC
rnacentral:rRNA from 1 species